CCAGCCCUGCGCAGCCGCCCGCCAAGCCGCCAGAGGACAAGCCGGACGCCGAAGGCUACGAGCGGACGAUUGCAGUACCUGUGUCGAGCUCUGCACAGGUGACUGGGACUGCAACCCCGGAGACCACUGUGUCAGCAAUGGGUGUGGCCAUGAGUGUGCUGCAGGGUAAGGACAGAUGAAGAGUUAUCUUAAGGAUCAUCUUUCUCUAAGAUCAUCAUCCCUUCCUGGAGUUCCUAUCUUCCAAGAUGUGACUGUCUAGAGUUCCUUGACUAGGAAGAUGGAUGAAAACAGCGAGCCUGUGGAUGGAGACUACGGGGGAUAUGGGAGGCAGGGAAGAGGGGUUGUUUCUUUUAAUAAAUCGUCAUUGUUAAAAGCA